rnacentral:rRNA from 1 species
UACGUAGGAUGCAAGCGUUGUCCGGAAUUAUUGGGCGUAAAGAGCGCGCAGGCGGUAUGACAAGUCAGAUGUGAAAGAGGCCGGCUUAACCGGCAAGGGUCAUUUGAAACUGUCAGACUAGAGUGCAGCAGAGGAUAGUGGAAUUCCCGGUGUAGUGGUGAAAUGCGUAGAUACCGGGAGGAACACCAGUGGCGAAGGCGACUAUCUGGGCUGCAACUGACGCUGAGGCGCGAAGGCUAGGGUAGCAAACAGG